rnacentral:rRNA from 1 species
UACAGAGGUGGCAAGCGUUGUUCGGAAUUACUGGGCGUAAAGGGCGCGUAGGCGGUUCGUUAAGUCCUGUGUGAAAUCCCCCGGCUCAACUGGGGAACUGCACAGGAAACUAGCGGGCUUGAGUUCGGGAGAGGGAAGCGGAAUUCCGGGUGUAGCGGUGAAAUGCGUAGAUAUCUGGAGGAACACCGGUGGCGAAGGCGGCAUCCUGGACCAACACUGACGCUGAGUGAGCGAAAGCCAGGGGAGCAAAG